UACGCUAAUGAAAUAGGUCGAUCAACAAGAUUUAUGUCCUGCAAGUUGCAAAAAAUAAGUUAAACACUUAUACAUACACUUAAUGAAAUAUACAAAUCUCUUUAUGUUGUCUGCUCCAAUAGUUCGAUCAAUAUGAUUGUGUUCACCUGCAACUGAAACGAAAAACCACACAAGAAAGUAGAGAUGAUUCAAAAGUAAGUGCUUUUGUGUCGGCAUUUGUGGAACGUGUACGUGAAGUUUUUUGUUCCUAGUGUUGAGUUAUACUGUUUGUGUUGGAGUUUAUUCGUGAAUUAUGUUUUUGGUUAUGCGUUUGGAAGUGUGUUUGUGUUUAGAUUUUGUUGUGUGUCUAAAUUUCGUCGGAGCGUUUUGUGUAGAAUCUGUUUUGGGAUAGUGCAAGCCUCUAUUCCACGUGUUAGCUUAAUAAUAGUUUGCAGAACACACAUGCGGAACAAGCCAGACUAGGGGACUAGUCUGUCCACUAAUUGGUAAGAUAGGGAGAGAGAGAGAGUUAGAGGUACUUCAUCACCUUAACCCUUCUAUGGUAGUGAAUUGUCUCCAAACUUGUCUUUGCAGCUUCAAGAUUCCUUCUCUUGAAAUCGAAGCACCUUAUCAAUGAAGUCUGUAAC
rnacentral:lncRNA from 1 species